rnacentral:tRNA from 1 species
GCGGAAGUAGCUCAGUUGGUAGAGCGUCAGCCUUCCAAGCUGAAUGUCGCGAGUUCGAACCUCGUCUUCCGCUCAA